ACUGAAUACAGAUGUAUUGUGAGUUGCAUACAAUAUUUUAUCUACAGAAAGUCAGGUAAUAUUAUGAAAAUCACCAAAUAUAAAUGGUAUUGUGAGUUGCAUACUUUAUUUUAUCUACGGUAAGUCGGGUAAUAUUGUAUUUUGUAGGUUGGUAGUAAAAGGCAUUUAACAUAGUGUAAUAAGCAGUAUUAUUGAAAUAAAAAAUACAUGUACUAUAUUUUACCUAUGACCAUAAAUUAAUUUAGAGUGCAUAGCUACAAAGACUGUUUGAAAAAAUGUUAGCAACGACAGUCAAGCAGUAACUAAUGGUUAAAAUAAGUAUCUAAAAACGUUAAUAAAAUAAUGUUACUAACUAAGCGACGGAAUGUGUGUAAAGCGAUGUAUAAAAAAUGAUGUAAGCAUGCAAUGAAUGAAAGGUAGUCAAUUCGGUCGAACAUAAAUUUGUU
rnacentral:lncRNA from 1 species